rnacentral:rRNA from 1 species
UACGUAGGGUGCGAGCGUUGUCCGGAAUUAUUGGGCGUAAAGCGUGCGCAGGCGGUUAUGUAAGACAGAUGUGAAAUGCCCGGGCUUAACCUGGGAACUGCAUUUGUGACUGCAUGGCUAGAGUUUGGCAGAGGGGGGUAGAAUUCCACGUGUAGCAGUGAAAUGCGUAGAUAUGUGGAGGAACACCGAUGGCGAAGGCAGCCCCCUGGGUCAAGACUGACGCUCAUGCACGAAAGCGUGGGGAGCAAACAGG